rnacentral:rRNA from 1 species
GGGGGGGGGGGGGGGGGGGCCGGGGGGGGGGGGGGGGGGCGGGGGGGGGGGGCGUGCUCCUGGAUGCAGCGGCGGACGGGGGGGGCAUGCCUAGGAAUCUGCCUGGUAGUGGGGGAUAACGUCCGGAACCGGGCGCUACUACCGCCUCCGUCCUGAGUGAGAAAGUGGGGUAUCUUCGGACCUCACGCUAUCAGAUGCGCCUAGGUCGGAUUAACUAGUUGGUGUGGUAAAGGCCUACCACGGCGACGAUCCGUAACCGGUCUGAGAGGAUAAUCAGUCACACUGGAACUGAGACACGGUCCAGACUCCUAAGGGAGGCAGAAGUGGGGAAUAUUGGACAAUGGGCGAAAGCCUGAUCCAGCCAUGCCGCGUGUGUGAAGAAGGUCUUCGGAUUGUAAAGCACUGUAAGUUGGGAGGAAGGGCAGUAAGUUAAUACCUUGCUGUUUUGACGUGACCAACAGAAUAAGCACCGGCUAACUUCGUG